rnacentral:sRNA from 1 species
AUGGCUGUCGUCAGCUCGUGUCGUAAGAUGUUGGGUUAAGUCCCGCAACGAGCGCAACCCUUGCUCUUAGUUGCCACCAUUAAGUUGGGCACUCUGAGAGGACUGCCGGUGUUAAACCGGAGGAAGGCGGGGAUGACGUCAAGUCCUCAUGGCCCUUACGUCCAGGGCUACACACGUACUACAAUGGCAGAGACAAAGGGUCGCGAAGCCGCGAGGUGGAGCUAAUCCCAAAAACACUGUCUCAGUCCGGAUUGAAGUCUGCAACUCGACUUCAUGAAGCUGGAAUCGCUAGUAAUCGAAGAUCAGCACGCUUCGGUGAAUACGUUCCCGGGCCUUGUACACACCGCCCGUCACACCACGAAAGUGAUUAUAACCAGAAGCAGGUGAGCCAACCGCAAGGGGGCAGCCUACCAAGGUUGCAGUCGUGAUUGGGGUGAAGUCGUAACAAGGUAGCCGUAGGGGAACCUGCGGCUGGAUCACCUCCUUUCUAAGGAUGUCUGAUUUGUGGCAACACAAAUCACAUUCAGGUUACCAGCAUCCUGGGUCUUCUGAAGAUUUGUCGCUAUUCAGCUUUGAGGGAGCAAUCCUUCAAAAGCUCUUUGACAACUGAAUAUCGCAAUUGUCCAAGUACAAUCGCAUUAAAAUCAUUGGAUUCUAAUUCUGCAACUGAGUUUCCAAUUGACGAGUUGAAGCGGUGAACAACCGCUUUGGUUCUGCCAAGUGGAGAGUCGACGGCGAGUUAGUAAGCUACUAAGGGCGCAUGGUGAAUGCCUAGGGUCUAGGAGGCGACGAAGGACGUGGUAGGCUGCGAAAAGCUUCGGGGAGAUGCCUAACAAUCUUUGAUCCGGAGAUGUCCGAAUGGGGAAACCCGG